CCCCAGCGCCACAAGUGGUAACCACAAUUAUUUGGCCUAAAGCGUCCGUAGCCGGUCUUGUAAAUUCUUUGUGAAAUCAUCAUGCUUAACAUGAUGGCGUGCAGGGGACACUGCAAGACUAGGGACCGGGAGGAGUCGGGGGUAUUCCAGGGGUAGCGGUAAAAUGUUAUAAUCCUCGGAGGACCACCUGUGCCGAAGGCGCCCGACUAGAACGGAUUCGACGGUGAGGGACGAAAGCCAGGGGAGCGAACCGG
rnacentral:rRNA from 1 species